rnacentral:lncRNA from 10 species
GUGCUCUAGCUUACCAAUGUCUCUUUUCAGCUUUGGGCUGCUGGAACCACAUUUCUUCAGAUAUCUCUGAGUAGUGCACAGACGGCAGGAUUCCAGACUCACUAUUCCUCUGCAAACAACCACUGGGUUUCUACAAGUUUAUCAGCCAUUUUGCAUGCACAAAUCUCUCCCUGGAGCCUUCAUCCUCUCCCGGUUAUCACUCACCAGUCUGUACUUUCUCAUGGGGUUGUCAACUAAUUCUCCUCUGCAGGCUCCUCACUUCCCUGUCAUUCCUUAAACUGCAGUGAUGCAGCCUUCCUCUGCCAUCAUGGCUCCACUGAAGAUGGCCUCACUGUGAUUAAUGAAGAACUAACUGCCAAAUUCACCGGACGCUUUUUAAUCCUUAUAUUAUAAAAAUCAAACAAUUGUAAGCAUUGUCAAAC